ACUGUAUGUGUGUGUUUAUAUAUACAUAAUAAAUAUACACAGUACACACACAUAUACAGGUAUUAUGCAAACAAAAUGCGAUGAAUUGUUUGACACCACUUUGUUUUUGUCUAUACUACUGAAUCUGUGAGUACUGUAUUUAAACAUUUACAAACUGGACCUAUUCAGUUUCAUUGUAAGUGCUAUACUGUAACCCAGAUUUUUUCCUUCUCUAAAAGAAAAAGGAGGACAAGUGGAAAUUAAUUUUUGUGGUAAUCGACAUUAUGCCACAAGUGCUGUCAAUUGAGCUUAAGUCACAUUGAAAACAUGAUAUUCCUUGAGCUUAACUUUUAUUGGAACCUGAACGUUCCCAAAUGGAAAAUUCAGUGGAGGAAAUUCAGCUUUGCUGUUAGUCAGUCGAAGCUCUGCUGCUCUGCUUAUUUUGUAUUUCAUCAGUGACUGAGCCAGUGAAGCAUUAAGUAUGAAUUUAUAUCAAAACCAGUUCUAGACAAUUUCCAGCUCUCAUAUCAUCUGCUCCAGAGGAUCAUGACUUUGGUUGAAACUUCAAUGGUGGUGUUGUGUUCUGGUUUUCAUUGAAAUCGUUCGUAACCGCACAUGGUAUUCCAAGAGCAUUUGUAGGUCCCGGGGCCCGAAGUUGCAUGAGUGUUUUCCAUUAAGGAUUGCGCUAAAUUACGGUGUGGUGAAAAACUGGAGGCUCAGCAUUUCAUCCCCCCGCUCCUCUUUCUACCCCUCCUUCUCUCCAACCCAGACCCCCGACCCCCUCCUUCUCCUGACACAGCACUUUGCCCGCCUGUGCUCUGCAGCCGGUCCGUGACAUCACAGCUCACAUCUCGAUAAACGUCAAAACAUUCCCCAGCACGAUGAGUCUCAGAUGCCUGGCUAAAUGCUUUCCAUAUGGGCCCUUUAUCCCCAGCUCCCAUUGGGGAAGGAGGAGGGGAGGAAGAAGGGAUGAGGGCUGAGGGAUUGAGAGAACUUUGGCCGGCUGAAGGAAAUGAGAGCUUUCAUCUUUUCUCUCUCGUUGGCCCUGGCCUGGGUUUCUCCAAAGAGUCGUUAUUCUCUGAGAAGACCAGUCUGGUUUUGUCAUCUGUCAGGAUAUCUACCUUAUGCAUAUCUCUCUGUCUCUCUCUUCUCCCCCUCUCUCUCUCUCUGUUAGGAAACGGAGUGGAGAAUGUUUUCCACUGCAGUGAGGAUACCUUUUCCUCCAGUGGUGUGGGUUUGACUUGGCAGCAGUUCAUCCAGCAACCAGUUUCUACAGCCUGGGAACAUCCUGCCUGCUUCACAGAGAAACCCAUCCCAGAUAAACAAUGGCAGUCCUGCAGAGGUCAUCACCACAGCCAGACAAGUGAGGUGUUGAGACGCUUCAGUCUUCUGUUCAUUUCCCUCAGGUGCUUAUCAACACAAUGGACCCCAAGCACAUACUGUUUGCAUCUCUCUCAUCAUCUCAUUCAUUCAUCUUUCUCUAAUCUCUCUUAUCCCUGCGGUGCUCAGGAAGAGAGGAAAGCCCACGGCCUUAUCUCUGUUUUUCUGUGUUUGUGGGGGACGAGACUGUUUCUCUAGUGUCUCUCUUCACUCUUCGUUUCAAAGUGUGUGCUCACAUCAGGCCCUCAUUUACUCUUCAAGAUUUCCACCGGUUGUGCAAUGUUUGAAUGUUCAGCCAUGGAAUGGUUAUUAUUCCUCUGUUCUUCAAAGCAUGCAGGCCUGUUGUUGAUGUAACUCCCUCCGGAACAAGGGCUGAGAGGACAGCAGGAGGAUGUUGUCAUUUUUGGAGGAGAUCAGGGGGGAAUAGCUUUUCAAGGGAAAGUGAGAUGGCGUCGGCAGCUGUGUGUCUGGCAGGGUGAAUGUUGGGACAUUUAAAAUACGUUUAGAAAUAGUUAAACAUCUGAACUUCCCUAUGAACUGAUAUAUCAUAUCUGCUGUGCAUAUGCAUGGGCACAAAUGCUUUAUUUAGACUUUCAAGGAAAAUGUGGAUGUGUUUAAAGACAUUGCACAGGGAGAGCUUAUUAUGGCUCAAAGUAACAGCGUCUUUUUCUGUACGGAAGGUUGUUUUGUUGUUUAGCACUUCUCUUUCCCUUCCUCACACAUACUAGAGUUUAACUGAAUGGAAUUAAAUAGUGCUGAACUGAAGUGAAUAUACCUGGACUGAACUACCAAACUGCUUUAAACUGAACCAAACUGACCUUAACUGAACUUAGUGAAGAUUAAUUAAACUAAACUUUUAAACUGAGUUGUGCUGAACUGUACCAAACUGAAUUAAACUUCUCAACUGAACUGAACUGUAUUGAACAGAAUUUGUCUGAACUGACUUGAAAUGUAUUGAACUGGACUAAACUGCUUAACUGAACAAAACUACUGAACUGAACUGAAUUAAAUCUAAAAUAUUAGACAGUAAUAAACAGAAAUGUAUUGAACUGAACUGAACCA
ensembl:lncRNA